rnacentral:rRNA from 1 species
AGAGCGAACGCUGGCGGCAGGCCUAACACAUGCAAGUCGAGCGCCCGUAGCAAUACGGGAGCGGCAGACGGGAUAGUAACACGUGGGAACGCGCCCUUCGGUUCGGAAUAACUCAGGGAAACUUGAGCUAAUACCGGAUACGCCCUUACGGGGAAAGAUUUAUUGCCGAAGGAACGGCCCGCGUCCGAUUAGCUAGUUGGUGAGGUAAUGGCUCACCAAGGCGACGAUCGGUAGCUGGUCUGAGAGGAUGACCAGCAUCACUGGGACUGAGACACGGCCCAGACUCCUACGGGAGGCAGCAGUGGGGAAUAUUGGACAAUGGGCGCAAGCCUGAUCCAGCCAUGCCGCGUGGAUGAUGAAGGCCUUAGGGUUGUAAAGUCCUUUUAACGGGAAGAUAAUGACGGUACCGUAGAAUAAGCCCCGGCUAACUUCGCGCCAGCAGCCGC